rnacentral:rRNA from 1 species
GAUGAACGCUAGCGACAGGCCUAACACAUGCAAGUCGAGGGGUAGCAGGAUGUAGCAAUACAUCGCUGACGACCGGCGCACGGGUGAGUAACGCGUAUGCAACCUACCUUCUACAGGGGGAUAGCCCGGAGAAACCCGGAUUAAUACCCCAUAAAACAGGGACUCCGCAUGGAGAUAUUUGUUAAAGAUUAAUCGGUAGAAGAUGGGCAUGCGUUCCAUUAGCCAGUUGGUGAGGUAACGGCUCACCAAAGCAACGAUGGAUAGGGGAACUGAGAGGUUUAUCCCCCACACUGGAACUGAGACACGGACCAGACUCCUACGGGAGGCAGCAGUGAGGAAUAUUGGUCAAUGGGCGCGAGCCUGAACCAGCCAAGUCGCGUGAAGGAAGACUGCCUUAGGGGUUGUAAACUUCUUUUAUAUGAGAAUAAAAAGAGUUACGUGUAACUUAUUGCAAGUAUCAUAUGAAUAAGCAUCGGCUAACUCCGUGCCAGCCGCCGCGGUAA